rnacentral:miRNA from 1 species
GGGUAGGGGGGCCAUGAGAGGGUAGGGGGCUGAGAGAGGCCUCUCACAGCCCCCCCACCCUCUCAUGGCCCCCCUACCCACUCACAGCCA